CCCCUCUCUCGCCCGGGAACUACGAGCCAAGCUUAAAACCCAAAGGACUUGACGGUACCCCACAUCCACCUAGAGGAGCCUGUCCUAUAAUCGAUAACCCACGUUUAACCUCACCAUUUUUAGCUUACUCAGCCUGUAUACCUCCGUCGUCAGCUUACCACGUGAGCGUUAGUGAGCUUAAUGUUAUUCAACCACACGUCAGGUCAAGGUGCAACUUAUAAAAUGGGAAGAGAUGGGCUACACUUUCUAACUUAGGACACACGAAAGAUUACUAAUGAAAAUUUAUCAGAAGGCGGAUUUAGCAGUAAACAGAAAUCAAAAAGUUCCGGUUAAUUUGGCACUGGGGCGCGUACACACCGCCCGUCACCCUC
rnacentral:rRNA from 1 species